CGUUGAGCCUAUAUUUUAGUUGGGGUGUGACUAGGGGAGGCUCCUUUACAACUUUACAAAUGGACAAAACACACCCUUUGAGAAGGUAACUUAAAGAGGAGGUGAUAGUUGUUCAUUUCUCUUCUUUGGAGAACUCAUCAUGAGCUGUAUCGCUGAGAUUUUGAUGGAAGAUAAAAACUACUUUUGGAGGAUGAAUCACACUUGAUAUAUGUCUUUGGUUAUUGCUUUUCUAUUGUGGAGCUUCUUUUGUUGUUAUAAUCUUUUACCUUUCAUAAGAUAAUGAUUGUCAUAGAUAUAUGUAGUGUCGAUUCAACAGAUCUUUACACAAUAUUGAUGUUUCAGGGAAAAUUCAAUUGCCAAGGUAGGUUUGCAUAAUUAUAUUUUAGAUGUUUGAACACACAUGUUCAAAAAAGGAAAUAUGUCCAUUCAUAAAACACAUACUCGUGAAUAAAAGUUUAGCUUACAAAAUGAUCACAUGCAAUUUUACACGGCAUUGUGUUAGUUUGAAAGUACAAGCUAAAGUUGUGUUAAUUAUAUGUCAUCACUUGUCCAUGCAUGCUCUUCAUGUGUUAUUACAAAACGUACCCUUGACACUUUUACCAUUUUUUUAACCAUCCUUUUUUUCCCAUUUACUGUAUAGUCAAAGUUUCACAACCCAAACAAGCAAAAGUGAAGAGAAUUACAUGAAGGAGACGGCACUGAACUACAACGCGGAUGAACAAAUAAAAUUUAAUAUUAGGGCAUUCCUUUCAUGUAGUCUUGUUAAGAUUCUUUUCCCUUCUCUAGAGUGUUCUGGUGUUGUAGGCAACCACAGCUUAGUGGCUUCCUUUAUCAUGCCAAAUAAGAAAGAGAUAGGCCUCUGCUUUUGUUAGUGUUUCCCCGUGCAAAGGAGGAGUUUUAUUUUGUCACAAAAUUGAAAGGUAGCAACCAUUGUGACAUAUAAUACACCUUUUUUGCAUGGAGGAGGAGAAGAAAGCAUCUAUUCCAGCCCUGCCUUUUUGACAAUGCUUAGUUGUCCAAGAGGGGUUUGUUUAUAUCUCGCUUUACUGCAUGAUUAAACGGAAAACGCUGGUCAUUGUCCAUAUUAGCAAAAGCUUAAUUAGUUAACAGAUUCAUCUAGAAUCAACAUCUUGAGCCGCCCCGGGGUGGGGGGGGGACAGGUAUUUUGAUAUGUUUUUGUCACACAGGGAAAAGGAAAAUUCAGCCAUCCUUGAGAUAUCAUGCACUUGCUUAGCACUGAGAAAUUAAUUAGAUUGUAUGCCUUUAUUGGAGAACUAACUUCUACAUUGUCUCAUGGCUUAUGUGCAUGCUGAGGUAAUGAACCGCUAUACAAAGAUGUAAACGUAAGUGGCAAAAAUGAAGCCGGAGAGAGAUGCACAUCUUGGUGAUAAGAGAUUGCGACAUCGUAGCCAUCCUGAUUUCUGCAGUUCUCAUUCAAGAAAAGGAAAAGGAGACUUUGACCCAUCGACUUUUUAACACCGUCGAUUUCAGGAACAAAAAAAAGAAAAAGCCAUCACGGUCAGGAGUGGUUCACGUCGUCGUCUGGUGAGUUCUUGUUGAGUUCUGGGAGGAGUGAAGAAUAUGGCGGCCUCGGCCGGCGUCAGUGACGAGCACGUAUGCGGUAGCACAGCAGCGACAGAAAAUAUUCAGAAAUAGAAGGGAUGCAUGCAGAGAGAUAGGUCAACUUUAUACACGGUUUCGAUGUUGUUGGACGGACGGACUGAGAGAUGAUGGGCUGGCCCAAGCCUAUUACACUACGGCCCAAGAAACCGCGCGCGUUCCUUAAGCAUAUACUCGUGGUCAAAUUUGUAAGCACCUGCAAGGCUGCAAACACAUUGCAGCCGCACAAAGUUAGCCGGAUCUGAUUCCACCGACGGUUGAGAUGGGCCGACGGCAUGUAGAGGAGGAACCGGAGAGUCGACAGAGAACGACAUGGAGUCAAAGACAAAUAUCCGUUCAUGUCCCAUCCCAGUUACUACUAGCUGUGUGUAGCAUAGUUGCAUAUACUGUUCGCCGAUGGAUCAUGUGAGGACUGGACUGAGGCGCGUGAACAAGAAAACAAAACCACUCCUCCUUCCAUCGAUUUUGGUAGCAUGCAUGAUUGGCAUUCUCGGCCAAGGCCCAUCGUUUUAAUUUGUUUUGAAAAAAAAUAAAGAAGUUAUUGUCACCUGAAUUUUUUCUAUGGGUGUGUUUGUUUUGCUACCAUAUCAAAAUGUUGGUACUACCAAAACCUAGACAAGUUUUGGUAGUGCCAAAAUUUUGGUAACCAAACACUAACAAAAUACUAUUUAAAGUGUCAAACAAUUUGGUAGGGCACAUUUUAGCUUCAAACCAAAAUGGCCCUAUAGCAAUAUAGGUGAUGUUUCUCAAUUAAAUUAACUAAAGAUGAAAUAUAUACGUCACAUUUUAGGUACAGAGUGGAUGAGUGGGUAAGCUACACAGUGUUGAUAGUGCAACUAAAUAAUUAACAGGAUUAUAUAAUACAAUUUUACAUAGCCGCCACUAUGUAUGACCAAAUAUACAUUGCCUGAAACAUAUAUAUCAUCGCCUUGUUUUUAGACUGACAGGUCAUUAGUCUUAGAUAUAAAAGUUGGUACAUGUUUUUGAAACCUAAAAAGUUGGUAAGUGUGGGGAUUUAUGAAUCUAGCUUUGUUUACUAAAGAUUUUAUAAAGACCAACAACCGGCAUCCACGCCUGAGAGGAGCUAACCCACGCAUGAAUAUAAUGGCAAUUCGAUAAGAUAUGAUGGGGCUUAAUUCUAUCCUAGCUCUAGAGAAUCAAUUUAGAGGUUUGCUCUUGGCCUAACAAACGAAUAAGCGGAUCGAGGUAUAUAUUCAAAGGAUAGAUGAUAUGGCUUUUCUGCUAACUUGUUCCCAUUUGGCGUUAUUAGUCAAUUUUUUUUAUCAUUAUUAGUCAUUUUUAAUACUAGUACUUCAUUUGCUUACUUCUUUAUUUACUCGUCACAUCAAAUUCCCCAUUUAUUUUUUUCUUAACUUUUACUUGCUUCCUCUUCCCUAUGUAUAAAAAUAUGCUACUAUCUCCGUUGUAAAAUAUAGCAACAUGUAUCAUUCAGAUCUGUACUAAGACCGUGUUUAGUUCACCCCCAACUAUCUCCAACUUCUAACUUUCCAUCACAUCACAUCACAUCCAAAACUUUUCUACACACAUAAACUUCCAACUUUUUUUCAAACUUCCAACUUUCCUCAAAAUUCCAACUUUUUUCAGGAACUAAACACAGCCUAAAUUCAGUAAUAAAAUGUUGUAUUUGACGAUAGAGGUAGUAGGACUUAUCAAGAUCAUCUUGCCAUGCUGCAUUACCACCCCCCAUUUGUAAACACUAGGACUUUUAGGCGCGCUUCGCGGCGCCCUACCAUUCAUUAAUUAAGAGCUAUGUAGCUUAUAGAUGGUAAUAGGGAAACAUUUCAUUAAGAGCUAUGUAGCUUCAAAGCAGAGCAAAUAGCAUGACUAUGAGAGAGA